rnacentral:rRNA from 1 species
GUGGGGAAUAUUGGACAAUGGGCGAAAGCCUGAUCCAGCCAUGCCGCGUGUGUGAAGAAGGUCUUCGGAUUGUAAAGCACUUUAAGUUGGGAGGAAGGGCAGUAAGUUAAUACCUUGCUGUUUUGACGUUACCGACAGAAUAAGCACCGGCUAACUUCGUGCCAGCAGCCGCGGUAAUACGAAGGGUGCAAGCGUUAAUCGGAAUUACUGGGCGUAAAGCGCGCGUAGGUGGUUCGUUAAGUUGGAUGUGAAAGCCCCGGGCUCAACCUGGGAACUGCAUCCAAAACUGGCGAGCUAGAGUACGGUAGAGGGUGGUGGAAUUUCCUGUGUAGCGGUGAAAUGCGUAGAUAUAGGAAGGAACACCAGUGGCGAAGGCGACCACCUGGACUGAUACUGACACUGAGGUGCGAAAGCGUGGGGAGCAAACAGGAUUAGAAACCCCUGUAGUCC